rnacentral:rRNA from 1 species
GACGAACGCUGGCGGCGUGCUUAACACAUGCAAGUCGAACGGACAGGCCCUGCUUUUGUGGCGUUCUCGUGUGGCGAACGGGUGAGUAAAACGUGUGUAACCUCCCCUUGACUUUGGGAUAACUUCACGAAACUGGGGCGCAUACCGGAUAGGAGCUACUGCUCCAUGGUGGUGGUUGGAAAGUUUCGGCGGUUGGGGAUGGAUUCGCGGCUUAUGAGCUUGUUGGUGGGGUAGGUGCUUUCCAGGCCUGUGAAGGGUAGCCGGCCUGGGAGGGUGACCGGCGACAUGGGGCCUGAGAUACGGACCAGAAUGGUACGGUAGGCAGUAGUGGGGAAUAUGGCGCAAUGGGGGGAAGCCUGAUGCAGCGACGCCGCGAGCGGAAAGACGGCCUUCGGGUGGUGAACCGCUUUGGCCUGAGACAAAGCGUGAGUGACGGUAAUGGGUAAAGAAGCACCGGCUAACUACGUG